rnacentral:rRNA from 1 species
CAAUAGCGUAUAUUUAAGUUGUUGCAGUUAAAAAGCUCGUAGUUGGAUUUCGGAUGGGAUUUGCCGGUCCGUCGUUACGAUGUGCACUGGCCAGUCCUAUCUUGUUGUCGGGGACUAGCUCCUUGGAUUCACUUCCUGGGACUAGGAGCUGACGAGGUUACUUUGAGUAAAUUAGAGUGUUCAAAGCAAGCCUACGCUCUGAAUACAUUAGCAUGGAAUAACACGAUAGGACUCUGGCUUAUCUUGUUGGUCUGUGAGACCAGAGUAAUGAUUAAGAGGGACAGUCGGGGACAUUCGUAUUUCAUUGUCAGAGGUGAAAUUCUUGGAUUUAUGAAAGACGAACUUCUGCGAAAGCAUUUGCCAAGGAUGUUUUCAUUGA